rnacentral:rRNA from 1 species
AGCAGCCGCGGUAAUUCCAGCUCCAAUAGCGUAUAUUAAAGUUGUUGCAGUUAAAAAGCUCGUAGUUGAAUUUCGGGGUCAGUAGAUUGGUCGUGCCUCUGGUACGUACUGGUCUUACUGGCUCCUCCUUCCUGAUGAACCGUAAUGCCAUUAAUUUGGUGUUGCGGGGAGACUGGACUGUUACUUUGAAAAAAUUAGAGUGUUUAAAGCAGGCUAACGCUUGAAUACAUUAGCAUGGAAUAAUGAAAUAGGACGUUCGAUCUUAUUUUGUUGGUUUCUAAGAUUGACGUAAUGAUUAAUAGGGAUAGUUGGGGGCAUUAGUAUUCAAUUGUCAGAGGUGAAAUUCUUGGAUUUAUUGAAGACUAACUACUGCGAAAGCAUUUGCCAAGGAUGUUUUCAUUAAUCAAGAACGAAAGUUAGGGGAUCGAAGACGAUCAGAUACCGUCGUAGUCUUAACCAUAAACUAUGCCGACUAGGGAUCGGAUGAUGUUAAUUUUUAAU